CAAGUCGAACGGCAGCACAGUAAGAGCUUGUUCUUACGGGUGGCGAGUGGCGGACGGGUGAGGAAUACAUCGGAAUCUACUUUUUCGUGGGGGAUAACGUAGGGAAACUUACGCUAAUACCGCAUACGACCUACGGGUGAAAGCAGGGGAUCUUCGGACCUUGCGCGAUUGAAUGAGCCGAUGUCGGAUUAGCUAGUUGGCGGGGUAAAGGCCCACCAAGGCGACGAUCCGUAGCUGGUCUGAGAGGAUGAUCAGCCACACUGGAACUGAGACACGGUCCAGACUCCUACGGGAGGCAGCAGUGGGGAAUAUUGGACAAUGGGCGCAAGCCUGAUCCAGCCAUACCGCGUGGGUGAAGAAGGCCUUCGGGUUGUAAAGCCCUUUUGUUGGGAAAGAAAUCCAGCUGGCUAAUACCCGGUUGGGAUGACGGUACCCAAAGAAUAAGCACCGGCUAACUUCGUGCCAGCAGCCGCGGUAAUACGAAGGGUGCAAGCGUUACUCGGAAUUACUGGGCGUAAAGCGUGCGUAGGUGGUCGUUUAAGUCCGUUGUGAAAGCCCUGGGCUCAACCUGGGAACUGCAGUGGAUACUGGGCGACUAGAAUGUGGUAGAGGGUAGCGGAAUUCCUGGUGUAGCAGUGAAAUGCGUAGAGAUCAGGAGGAACAUCCAUGGCGAAGGCAGCUACCUGGACCAACAUUGACACUGAGGCACGAAAGCGU
rnacentral:rRNA from 1 species